rnacentral:lncRNA from 1 species
UUCAUCAGACCUUCUCUCUCUCCUUCUCUCUCUCAGGCGACUCAAGAACAUCAACCACCUUCUCUUUCGGGCGACUCAGAAUCAGAGUCAGAAGCUUAAAUGGGCUCAAGGGAAAGCGGGUGAGAAUCGGGUACAUGUUUUGGAGGAGCACUGGUGAGUUUUCGUGGGGAUUUAUGAUGGGUUUAACGGUCCGGAUUCACCGGAUUAUCUGUUGUCGAAUUUGUAUCCUGCUGUCGGUCUUCUUCAUUUGAGUUCUCCCAUGGAGAAAUCUGAUGAACUUCUCCUGCGAGUUCUAAAGUCGUUGCCAUUAGGUUUCUACUCAGAGACAUCUCGGAUUGACACGGUUGAUUAGUGGUUGAGACUAAAAGGUACAUACUUUGUUAAGCCAUUAAGGUGUUGGUUUCGAUUUGGGUAAAUAACUGGAUCUGGAUUUUCCUUCUUUUUUUUCCUUCUUGGUGUCGAUUCGAGCUUCACAGGUUUCAAUUACAACGCUUAAUUAGGGUUUUUUUUUUUAUCUUUAUUAGGGUUUAGAAGGUUUGUGUUGUUUCAGUUUAUAGUUUUUCUUUGUGGAGGGUUUUGAAUUUUGAAACUUAUGUCUGUAUUUUUCCAUGUUAGUUUAAUUCCUGAGUUCAGGGGUCCUUAUCAUAAAGCCCAUGAAAAGUCUCUACCAAGGUAUUAUUUAAUUUAAGCUGGUGGAGUUUUGAUUUAUGUGAAAUAUGGUUUGGUUUUACUGAUUUUAAGUAGCUAAAAUGUUAGUUAGAUUAUUCGAUUAUCGUGGUUAGUUAACAAAAAGGAAGAUGAUACUUUCAGAUUCCAAUUAAAAAUGCUUCAAAAAUGUUGUUGGCUUUGUUAUUUUAAACUUACGUGAUAGAUUUUGUGGUACAAACAUAGACAUUAAGCAUCAUUAGUGUACCAUCUCAAACAACAUUUGGUACUGGGUACCAGUGUCGAAUCGGUGCCUCUAGGGAUUACAUUGUUGCCCCUGUGGAGUACUUAUCCGACACACUUCACUUAACUGGCCUAAUAAUGCUAUUGGGCAGGCUCAAACUGAAAGGAAGAAUUAUACAAAAUAGAAUUAGGAACUAUGGAGAUUCCGUUCAAUAAUAUGUGGGGCACGCACCCUACCUGACCCAAUUCGGCUACAUAAAAGUAUGUGUGUUUGAUAUGAGUGCAUUUUGACUGACCUGUUACCUGACCCACGCGUCCUACCCAUUUGGUCAUCUCUAUGUAGCAUAUAAAUGGGUCAAAUAGUUCGAGUAAAAUCUUUAGCAAAAGUAGAAACGGUUCAAACGGCUUGAAGGUCACCCUUAAAACUUAAGUGUUCCAUUCAAGGAUGUAGAUUAUGGUAACAAUAGAUUCACAAGGCAUAUUAGAAAUACUCCAACCUUUGACAUUUAAAAAAUUAUAAUUAUCUUCUUGGAUUAGUAUAAUUUGUUUGUUGCUGAGACUUAAUUCUUUUGCAGUGUAAUCUUAUUUCCCAAAGCCAUCACAUUUUAUGUAACUUGGCUGCUGGUUUGCGAGAGAAGCUGGAUUUUUUUGGGUCUGUAUUACUUGGUCAAAUGGGACUGAUGAUGCUUUUGCUGAUUUGCUUCAAACCCUAGCUGAUAUGGAUCUGACUUUUACAGUCCUUAAGUGGAGAGUAGCAGAGGUUUGCCAAAGAUUAGAACAGGACCUUGAAAUACUCGGGGUUGCUGCAAUUGAGGACCGUUUACAGGGAUCAACAUGUGUUUUCACAGAAGCUAUACUACGCAACUAUGGCUUUCACACUGGCCUCUUCACAUCUCGACACCUCAUUGACGUUUGAGAAAGAUUUCGAUUGAACAGAGAGGACAUAUGCAUAUGAAUAACUGAUGGUUUCUUUGCAUCAUAUAUUAUUGGUGUUGUGGUAACAACACACAUGGUGAUUGGCGGCUUUACAUUCACUAUAGGCUGGUACUCAUUGAGAGUUUGAGACCACGAAUCCAUCUAUUGCUUAAUGAAUAAGGGAUAAUCUUGACAGGUUAUAAAGCUGGAGCUUCAUACACGGAUGAAUGGGUCUAACGGUUCAAACGGGUCAGAUGUGUUGUAGCACUGGGCCAUUCAGUCACGUUUAUUUUCUGUUUUAUUGGGUCUAACGGUUCAAACGGGUCAGAUGGGUUUUGUGAAGCUGUCCAAUGCGGUGAGGUUAAAGGCCCACUUUAAAUACAUCGGCCCUUGUGAAAAACACCUGUUAAAGGCCCUCAAGAGGGCUAUUGGUCUGCUGGAAAGGCACCUGAGAAAGCCCUUUGAUUAGCUUGGGCAGUUUACAUGUUGAUCCGGUUUGCUGUGAAGGCCCAUUCAGGGUUCAAAAAUCGGAAUGUUCAAACCUUUUGGGUGGUGUGGAUGAUCGCGGGGCCGGAAAGCAGGUACUCUGCUCGGAAAGUGAAGAUCAUUAUGUUUGGGCUGCAUUUUAGUUUUAUCCGGCUUGUGAAAUAUAGUUUUGUAAACUUGCUAAAUACUAGGUUUUUGUACAUGCCUAGACUUGGUUGCAUGGUUUUUAUUAUUUUUGGUCUCCCGAAGCAUGUUUUGGGAGACGAUACGGGGGAAUGCCCCUUUGGAUGAUGUAUUUUUUUGUUGUUUUGUGGUUAUACAUUUGCCGGGCUUUGCCCUUUAUCCAAAAAAAAAAAAAA